rnacentral:rRNA from 1 species
UUCGCAAUGCCCGAAAGGGUGACGAUGCGACGCCGCGUGAGCGAAGAAGGCCCUAGGGUUGUAAAGCUUUGUCGGGGGUUAAGAAAUGCAGGUUGGCUAAUACCCAGCUUGUUUGACAAAGGCCCCAAAGGAAGCCACGGCUAACUCUGUGCCAGCAGCCGCGGUAAUACAGAGGUGGCAAGCGUUGUUCGGUAUUAUUGGGCGUAAAGAGCACGUAGGUGGUUUUGUAAGUCAGAUGUGAAAGCCUUCUGUUCAAAGGAAGAACGGCAUCUGAAACUGCAAAUCUUGAGUGUAGGAGGGGAGAGUGGAACUUCUGGUGGAGCGGUGAAAUGCGUAGAUAUCAGAAGGAACGUCGGCGGCGAAAGCGACUCUCUGGCCUAUUACUGACACUGAGUGUGCGAAAGUUAGGGGAGCAAACGGGAUUAGAUACCCCGGUAGUCCUAACUGUAAACGAUGGGCACUAAGUAGAGGGGUUUUA